rnacentral:misc_RNA from 1 species
UGCAGAAGACGCUCUUGGCGACCCCACACGCACACACAAAUCCAUCCAAUUCCGAUGGUGGACAAGGCUGGCACCGUAUGUGUCUUUCCUUAGUCGGCGAAAUACCAGAGUAGCACUGCCCGCUGGGCUGCACACUACAGGCUAACGCACGUGGCACUAUCUACGUCAUUGAUCGCAUCCGCCGUAUCGGCUACCUGCUUCGGUUGCACAAACCCACGGCAGCUUUUCCCGCCGCAUCGCCGACGCCGCAGCAGCGUCUCUCGUCGCUGCCCCCAUCGCGCCUGCUGGGAGUAGUGCUGCUCCCCCGGUGUGCAGCUUCAUCUUCCCUCUGAGCCAGCCUAUGGUAGCGUCCCUGCCUCAGCAGACGCAGCUGAUGCAGUUGAAGCAGAUGACCGCCAACACCCCUCAUCCCUCUAUGACAAGCAUGGCGUCGCAGGUUACACCGCUGGACACGUAAGGGCUGGCGAGAUCAUAUCGCGCGAACGCCGUCGUGGAGUUUGACUCUGUGUCGUCCACCACUGCUAUCGUGUGUCCCACCACUCGUUUAGCGUCCUAAGGGAAAAAGCACCUUCACAACGACUCCCCCAGCUCACCUGCUGACGCCCCCUCCCCCCCCCAACCAGCUACCCUUCUUCCCUGCCCUGCACCAGCGAAGAGUCUACUCGUCAAAUUCAACGCCAAGAUAGGACUACAGCGUCCACGGGCACGACGGCAGCAGACAACGACCGCCUGACGGCCUCAUCUGCGCACUCGGUCGCCUCUGUGCCGACCGAUGCCGUCGACCCUCCUUCCAUGCACUGUAGCUCCAUCAUCGAGAGUGGAAUGCGGCAGUCGAUUCACUUCUGCCUUCUCCCGCCGCGCCAUUGCUGGCUCGAGGAAGUCUACCUCACGCUUCGAAUGCCGCGCCCGGUGGCCUACGCGGACGCUGGUGCUCCUCUCCUGCCACUACUGACGAGCCUAUUUCCACAUCGGCGCGCGGCGCAUGUGGCGGCACCUCUCCUUCGUGACACCCAAUCGAGUACAGCGGCAGCGCGAUCGCGGAUGCUGUAUCUCGAAGGUGACCACCCUGGUGUUUGUGGAGCCGCCUAGCCUAAUGACAGCCGCGCAGCGCGAACCGUAUCAUGUGCGACGGCGCCACCCUCGCCGUGUCCGCAGUUGAGCAAGAGGAUCUAGUGCUGAUAGUGGGAGGUACGUUUCUGGAAGAGCGGCCUGAGUUUGCUGGAUUGGCACCUCGUCAUGCAAGGCAUCGACGUUGUGACCUCGUACUGUUCCAUGUGGCGAUGUGCCACUGCGCUCGAAUGAGAAUCUCGUACCUGGCAGUACCUCCAGGCCCAAAGAGUGGCAGGGCCCAGGCCAGUCGCGCUAUCAGGCGAGGGGAGGGGAGGGGAGGGCAUGUCCGACGUAACGGGCACGUUUUUCUUGCAGGGGUCGUUUUUCUGCUUUUGUGUGUGUGUGUGUAUGUGUGUGCUCUCUUAUCUCCUGCACCUGCCCAGUGUGUGCGGCGGGUAGUGAAAGUGCGGUGGAUUUUCUUUUUUUUGUAGUCAUCGACGCGGGACGGCGUGGCAUGCGUCGUGUUCUGCUGUCGUCGUUGUGGUUGCGUGCCAAGCGCCGCAGGCACGGAUAUGAUGACUUUUGAGACUGUGUGUAUGUGUGUGUGUUGCCCUGCGCACUCUGAAGAAAGAGUCGUGGUUGGGGCGGCAUGGGGAGGGGCGCACGUCAUUUCCGGCACUCCCUCCCUGUGCGCACAAUGCACAGUGCAGUCGAUUGGAUGAAGGCAAG